rnacentral:rRNA from 1 species
GACAGAGGGUGCAAACGUUGUUCGGAAUUACUGGGCGUAAAGCGCGCGUAGGCGGCUUUGUAAGUUAGAGGUGAAAGCCCGGGGCUCAACCCCGGAACUGCCUUUAAGACUGCAUCGCUUGAAUCCGGGAGAGGUGAGUGGAAUUCCGAGUGUAGAGGUGAAAUUCGUAGAUAUUCGGAAGAACACCAGUGGCGAAGGCGGCUCACUGGACCGGUAUUGACGCUGAUGUGCGAAAGCGUGGGGAGCAAACAGG